rnacentral:tRNA from 1 species
GCGAGAGUGGCGGAAUUGGCAGACGCGCUAGCUUGAGGGGCUAGUGGCAGCAAUGCCGUGUGGGUUCAAGUCCCGUCUCUCGCACCA